AUUGAACGCUGGCGGCAUGCUUUACACAUGCAAGUCGAACGGUAACAGGCCGCAAGGUGCUGACGAGUGGCGCACGGGUGAGUAAUGCAUCGGAACGUGCCCAGUCGUGGGGGAUAACGCAGCGAAAGCUGCGCUAAUACCGCAUACGAUCUAUGGAUGAAAGCGGGGGACCGUAAGGCCUCGCGCGAUUGGAGCGGCCGAUGUCAGAUUAGGUAGUUGGCGGGGUAAAGGCUCACCAAGCCAACGAUCUGUAGCUGGUCUGAGAGGACGACCAGCCACACUGGGACUGAGCCACGGCACAGACUCCUACGGGAGGCAGCAGUGGGGAAUUUUGGACAAUGGGCGCAAGCCUGAUCCAGCAAUGCCGCGUGCAGGAAGGAGGCCUUCGGGUUGUAAACUGCUUUUGUACGGAACGAAAAGGCUCUGGUUAAUACCUGGGGCUCAUGACGGUACCGUAAGAAUAAGCACCGGCUAACUACGUGCCAGCCGCCGCGGUAAGAC
rnacentral:rRNA from 1 species